rnacentral:rRNA from 1 species
UACGGGGGGGGCAAGCGUUGUUCGGAAUUACUGGGCGUAAAGGGCUCGUAGGUGGCCAACUAAGUCAGACGUGAAAUCCCUCGGCUUAACCGGGGAACUGCGUCUGAUACUGGAUGGCUGGAGAUUGGGAGAGGGAUGCGGAAUUCCAGGUGUAGCGGUGAAAUGCGUAGAUAUCUGGAGGAACACCGGUGGCGAAGGCGGCAUCCUGGACCGGCAUUGACGCUGAGGAGCGAAAGCCAGGGGAGCAAACGGG